ACAAAUGCGCAAACGGAGAAGAGUAAGCGGAGGGCAGCCGUCCAGAGAGCCUGUGGCCGGUGAGAACAGGCCGGCUCCCCCGCCGAAUGGGCUCCCGAGCAGGACCGGUGAAUGGAGUAGCCGGUUCCGUCCGCCCUCGUUACGGGCUUGAGCGGCCGAAUUUCGGCAAUGCGGGUGGUACCGCGGUUGAUGACACAUCAUCCGUCCCAGUU
rnacentral:ncRNA from 1 species